CGCCUGAGUUGAUCUGGCUCAGGAUGAACGYUCAGGCAGGCUUAAUACAUGCAAGUCGAGGGGCAGCAGCUUAUAGCAAUAUAGAGGCUGGCGACCGGCAAACGGGUGCGGAACACGUACACAACCUUCCCUGAAUAGGGGGAUAGCCCAUAGAAAUGUGGAUUAAUACCCCGUAAUAUAGCGGUGUGGCAUCACACUGUUAUUAUAGUUUCGGCGAUUCGAGAUGGGUGUGCGGCUGAUUAGGUAGUUGGCGGGGUAAAGGCCCACCAAGCCUUCGAUCAGUAGCUGAUGUGAGAGCAUGAUCAGCCACACGGGCACUGAGACACGGGCCCGACUCCUACGGGAGGCAGCAGUAAGGAAUAUUGGUCAAUGGACGCAAGUCUGAACCAGCCAUGCCGCGUGAAGGAUGAAGGUCCUYUGGAUUGUAAACUUCUUUUAUAGGGGGCGAAAAAAGGUCUUCUAGAUCACUGACAGUACCCG
rnacentral:rRNA from 1 species